AGUAACGCGUGGGUAACCUGCCUUGUGCAGGGGGAUAACAGUUGGAAACGGCUGCUAAUACCGCAUAAGCGCACGGCAUCGCAUGAUGCAGUGUGAAAAACUCCGGUGGUAUAAGAUGGACCCGCGUUGGAUUAGCUAGUUGGUGAGGUAACGGCCCACCAAGGCGACGAUCCAUAGCCGACCUGAGAGGGUGACCGGCCACAUUGGGACUGAGACACGGCCCAA
rnacentral:rRNA from 1 species